GUCAGUGUAGUAUAAUGGUUAGGAAACUGGGCUUCUAAUGCUGAGGUUGCGGGUUUGAUUCCCAGCUGGGACA
rnacentral:tRNA from 1 species